AUGAAGGCUGGUAAGUUUCAGUAUACUAAAGACAAGUUCCUGAAAAGUCUUUCUAACUGGAUUGAAAAAUAUGCAUCUUGUCGGGCGAAGGAAGACUUAAUAAAAUCAGUAAUCCAGGCCGUACCGGUGUAUGCCAUGGGAAGUUUUAAAUUUCCAGCUUCUCUUUGUGAGGAAAUAUCCUAGAUUAUAAGGAACUUCUGGUGGGGAGUGAAGGAAAUAUGAAGGAAAACACAUUGGGUGGCAUGGGACAAAUUGACAAGACCUAAAGGUAAAGGCGGUAUGGGCUUUCGUGAUCUUAGACUUUUUAAUCAAGCUCUUUUGGCAAAACAAGCUUGGCGUUUAUUGAUAUAUCCGGACUCUAUGUGCGAAGUUGAUGAAGGCAAAGUAUUAUCCUCAGGGACAUAUUUUGGAUACGGUGUUCCCGCGUUCUUCAUCAGUUACUUGGCAGGGUAUUAUGCAUGGCUUGGAACUGCUUAA
rnacentral:rRNA from 1 species